ACAAGUGAUCCUCACAAAAGCAAAAAUAGAUAAAUUAAAAGUAUAUUUUUUAAUUAAUUUUGCCUUACAAUUUCUUGUCAUAUUGCAUUCAGUUUGUUUACAAUCUCUUUGGGUUUCUUGGUUUAGGCAUUCAGUUUGUACUUGUUGAUAUCUUUGUAUUGGCAUCUUAAUUAUUUCUUUAUCUUUGCAGUGGAAUGAUUCAAUAGAAAAUAUGCCCAAUGGAAUGCAACUAAGAAGGAAGAAAAGAAAAUGGUUAAUUUGAAGGACAAGUGGAGAAACAUGAUGCAAUAGUGAUGCACAUGUGUAGAUCUUAGGGAGUAGGUUCUAACUUCUAUGGAUGCAACCUAGUUUUUUUAAAAGAGGGACCUAAGACGUAAGUACCAACUAUGCUGCCAAUACACUUCAGUUUUAUAUCUGGUUUUAAGAGCUCAUCCAACGUUGCAAGCACUACUUUUCUACAUUGCUUCUAAAGAAGGAGGUAAGAUUUUGGAGCAAUUGACUACAAUAUGUUCCUAAUCAACAAGCUUCAUAGAAAUUGGAUCAAGAGAAUGAGAUUCCUUUGGCAAAAGAGUUAGGAAGUAAGUUUUCUAGAGCAAGCAACAAAGCAGUGUCAUCUUUUUAUGAUGGAGAUUUUAUGUAUUAAGAGCUACAUGUUAAGACAUUUAUAAUUAAAGAAUCAUGUUAUGUUAGAUAUU